GAUGAACGCUAGCGACAGGCCUAACACAUGCAAGUCGAGGGGCAGCGAGAAUAAAGCUUGCUUUAUUUGUCGGCGACCGGCGCACGGGUGAGUAACGCGUAUGCAACCUUCCGCUACUCGGGGGAUAACCCGGAGAAAUUCGGACUAACACCGUAUGUGCUUAGGAUUCGCAUGAAUUUUAAGUGAAAAGUUAUGAGUAGCGAUGGGCAUGCGUAUGAUUAGCUAGUUGGCGGGGUAACGGCCCACCAAGGCGACGAUCAUUAGGGGUUCUGAGAGGAAGGGCCCCCACACAGGUACAGAGACACGGACCAGACUCCUACGGGAGGCAGCAGUGAGGAAUAUUGGUCAAUGGGCGAGAGCCUGAACUAGCCAAGUCGCGUGAAGGAUGACUGAUCUAUGGUUUGUAAACUUCUUUUAUAAGGGAAUAAAGUGCAGCACGUGUGCUGUUUUGUAUGUACCUUAUGAAUAAGCAUCGGCUAACUCCGUGCCAGCCGCCGCCGUAACAC
rnacentral:rRNA from 1 species